UACGGAGGGAGCUAGCGUUGUUCGGAAUUACUGGGCGUAAAGCGCGCGUAGGCGGCUUUGUAAGUUAGAGGUGAAAGCCCGGGGCUCAACUCCGGAAUUGCCUUUAAGACUGCAUCGCUUGAAUCCGGGAGAGGUGAGUGGAAUUCCGAGUGUAGAGGUGAAAUUCGUAGAUAUUGGGAAGAACACCGGUGGCGAAGGCGGCGACCUGGUUCAUUACUGACGCUGAGGCGCGAAAGCGUGGGGAGCAAACAGG
rnacentral:rRNA from 1 species